rnacentral:lncRNA from 1 species
CGGGGAGUGUUUACUUCGCCUCCACUUCUGUUCCUCCCCGCCCUGGUGCUGCUCCAGGUCACAUACUCUUCCUGAGCCGGCUUCAGCCUCUCCGCGCAGAAGUCUCCCGGAGCCAUGGCCUAGUAUUCUUAUGUGAAGUCUACCAAGCUUGUGCUCAAGGGAACCGAGUAAGAAGAAAAAGAGCAAAGAUAAGAAGAGAAAAAGAGAAGAUGAAGAAACCCAGCUUGAUAUGUUGAGGAACGCAGCUGCUCACCAGCAACGGAACAAAGCUGGACGGAGAAUGACUUUGAAGAGCUGAGAGAAGGCUUCAGACGAUCAAAUUACUCUGAGCUACGGGAGGACAUUCAAACCAAAGGCAAAGAAGUUGAAAACUUUGAAAAAAAUAAAUGUACAUUAAUUAACGUGGAAUCUGGUGAACAGUAACAAACUUUGGUGAAAUUUCAGGAACCAUAGCCAUUGAAGUGGAUGAGGGAACCUAUAUACAUGCACUCAACAAUGGUCUUUUUACCCUGGGAGCUCCACACAAAGAAGAAUCGCCCUGAAACCUGGCUAUGGAAAAUAUCUUAGUAUAAAUUCAGAUGAACUUGUUGUUGGCGUUCAGAUGCAAUUGGACCAAGAGAACAAUGGGAACCAGUCUUUCAAAAUCAAGAGGUCAGAAAUGGUGGGCCAGCUGAGAUGGGAGAAGAAAAGAGAAAUGGCACAAAGUGGAGAGAAGACACCGACCAUACCUCCUUUCCUCUCUUUCCCACCACAGGUGGACAGCCCAAAGCACACUCCAACUGGAGGAAGGUUUGCCAUUAAAGAUAAGCUUAUUUUGGGAGAGGCCAGCUGCCAUGUCAUGAAGACACUCAAGAAGCCCUGUGAAGAGGAAGCAAGGCCUGCCAACAACAGCCAGCACCAACUUUCCAGCCAAGGGAUUGAGCCAUCUCACAGUGGAUCCUCCAGCCCCCACCAAGCCUUCAUAUGACCAAACCAAUACCAACAUGUAACUGUGACCUCAUGUGAGUCCCCAAGCCAGAAUACCCAUCUCCUGUCUCAGAAAUGAUGAGAAAUAAUAAAUAUAUGUGCUCACA